GUUGUUUUCUUUUUCCUUGGCAGAUGAUCAUUCCCAGGUGAGGCUACAGACAAUAGAAGGAGACAUUGAAGUGGCACUCCCUUUCUCCACAGAAAAGCCCUCUUCACCAUGGCUGAUUUUAGGACUGUCAGCAAGAGAGUCUCUGUGAAAGAGUUCAUUGUAGAUAAACUUCCUAUUUUCAUGUCACCCUGUUUAUUUGGCCACUGGCCGAGAAGAUACCAGCACUCCAGGUGCUGGACACCCCCUUACUAGUUUUUCACAAACAUAUCCAGUAUAGUAGUUUGUAGAAAUGUGCAAACAAGGCCUCUGGCCUUGAGCUGGGCUUCACAGAGAUGUCUACAUUUUUAAGAUAAUUUACAAAUGGGCCCAUGGUAACAGCUGGCAGCAGGAGGAAAGAAAGGGGAGAAGAAACUCUCCCCUUCUCAGGUGUUGUCCUUGAAGAGUUAACUUGCCCAGAACAGUGAAAGAAAAAACUGCUUUUAUGUGAACUUCUGCAGACUGUGAACUUCUGAGCCCCUCCCCUUACAUGCUGGGUAUAAAAUUCUGAAACUACCUUAACUCGGGGUUCAGGGGAUUAACUGAUUAUAGCAAAAGCUGUGCCCUCUGAACCUGGCUACAGCCAAAUAAAACUGUUUCCUGCUAUCUUUGGUGCCUUCCCUCUUUGUCCCUACAACAACAUCAACUCAGACUAUAUCAAUGGAAAUUAUAUCCAUGUAUGUAUUUUGAAACUCUCAGUGAACUCAGCCAUCCUAACACAUACCAGAUUGCAUGUCUGCUAUGAGAUGGGCAGACACACAUCACACAGAAACUAAAAACAAACGUAUUAAUGUUGCCCCAUGCCCCAUAGAACUUCACAGUUACUACACAGUCACUCCUUUUUUCAAGUCAGCCUGUUCCUUGGUGAAUUUCUCUGGUGUUCUGUAUACUGUCCGAUGCUUAUAUAGACUAAGAAUUUUUUUCCCCUUUUAUUUAUUUUUUUAUCAAC
rnacentral:lncRNA from 1 species